rnacentral:rRNA from 1 species
CCUACGGGAGGCAGCAGUGGGGAAUUUUGGACAAUGGGGGCAACCCUGAUCCAGCCAUUCCGCGUGAGUGAAGAAGGCCUUCGGGUUGUAAAGCUCUUUCGCAAGGGAAGAAAACUUAUGAUCGAAUAAAUCAUGAGGUUGACGGUACCUUGAUAAGAAGCACCGGCUAACUACGUGCCAGCAGCCGCGGUAAUACGUGGGGUGCGAGCGUUAAUCGGAAUUACUGGGCGUAAAGCGUGCGCAGGCGGUUUUGUAAGUCGGAUGUGAAAUCCCCGGGCUCAACCUGGGAACUGCGUUCGAAACUGCAAGGCUAGAGUGUGUCAGAGGGGGGUAGAAUUCCACGUGUAGCAGUGAAAUGCGUAGAGAUGUGGAGGAAUACCAAUGGCGAAGGCAGCCCCCUGGGAUAACACUGACGCUCAUGCACGAAAGCGUGGGGAGCAAACAGGAUUAGAUACCCUGGUAGUCCACGCCCUAAACGAUGUCAACUAGUUGUUGGUAGAGUAAAAUCUAUGAGUAGCGUAGCUACGCGUGAGUAGACGCCGUGGGAGGUACGGUCGCGAGAAGUAAACUACAAGAGUAGUAGACGNGAGAGACGACGACGACGACGACGACGGAGGGAGGAGG